AUUGUUUUCACUCAGUUCCUCUCGAGCAACAGUUCAAGAGCAAAUUUUCAAUACGUCCUAAGUAACAAAAUAAACAAAAAUGAGGUUUUUGCAUAUUUUAAUACCUAUUGAACUGUUUAAUACUGUGUAGCAAGAGCAAAAAUCUACAGUAGUUAAAACUUUUGAAAUUUCAAAUAAUUCCAACUGACUUAAGUAACAAAGUGAGCACUUUUCAUUUGUGUCGCUUUGUCGGUAAAAUGACUAAUGUAACGCACAUAACUCACAACUGACGUAAGUGCGCUGUCAAAACGACCUAAGUAACAAAAUUAUGUAAUCAGUAUUCAGAAGUGGUUACGUCAAGCAGGAUUUGCUAGAACCCGGAGAUUGUUUCCCCCGUUUUCCCGGCGCAGUAAGACCACCUUCCUAAUAGCGCUUCCAUCGGUUCGGAAUGCAUUUUUUUCCAGCCACUUCCAUCGUCGCUGUACACGGCAAGAUCUAAGCUGACCAGUAGCGGUAGCUCUUUCUCGUCGCCGUCACCAACUAAGACCGUGGGUAGGAUAGGACGGAGCAAGGUGAGCACCCCCAGUUGCUGCAGUACAUAAAAAACGAGCUAACCUCGGCGGAAAGCGAGGAAACCGAAUCGUCGGAUGGUUCCUCCAAAUUGAAACCAACCCCAACGGUGGGCAGAAUAACAACGUCUUCACGUCGAACAAUGCCUCUUCGAUUCCCAAAAAUCCUCCGAAGCAGGAGAAUCCCGCAUUCCCAGUAAAUGGUGCUCCAGCAGCAAGCGAUUCUGCAGCAACAAUGACAACACCAGGCGCAGAUUUUUGCCCAGCUGCAGGCCCAACCACAGCAGUUCCACCAUUAGCACCAGCUCGUGAACAGUCAUCACAACAUCAGCAGAAGCAAUAAUAGCAGCAACAUCAGGAAGGCCAUCUGAUCUGGAAGGAAGUCGAGCGGCACCAGAAGUCAAAACCACAUGCAAAACCAUUUCCAUUACGAAAAGAUCCUAGACGGGUGACCGGAGAUUGAAACCGUCUCUUUCAGCAUGGUCACGCCUUGGGUCUCGCUAAAUACCCACGUGUGUACCGCAUAGGAUACUCGAGCUACGUGUACCAACUCCUACGGCUGCUUUGUCAUCUUUAACAUACAAAAAACUAGUAUUAUUUGGAAAUAAAUAUAUUAUUCUCGAUCAAAACAUGCGAA